UGAAUCCAUUCCCAGCCUCACUGCCAGCUCCUGAGACAAAGCCCACGUCAUUCCUUCCCUAGAUUAAUCUCACCAGGAGUCUCAUGAUGGAUCCUCUGCCCCAGGCCAAAUUCCCUUGACAUCCAUCUCCACCUGACCGCCAGAAGUAUCUUUCCAAACAUGGGUCACCAUGCAUGUUUCAGCUUAAAAUCUGCCCAUGAGUCCUCUUUUCCACCAGUGCUGAAAUCAAGCUCCCCUAAAAUGAUUCACGAGGACAUCACACCAGGUGCCCCUCGGAACAGAUGCUCAGCCGAGACGGUUGUGUCGCAGACACCUGGGAGGAGAGGGACUGCAGGUUCCUCAACUCCCUGUGAAAAAAGCAUGCAGACUGUGGAGCUGCCACUUCCCAUGAUCUCAGAGACUUCAUAUGCAUCCAGGUUCACCUAUCACAACCAUAAUGAUCUUGUAUCUCCUUUGGGUUUGUGGGGAGUUUUCUCUCGGCUAUCUACACUCAGGUAUGAGUUUUACAUUAUGUCUCACAUAUGUGUACAUUUUUGGACUGUCAACACUUUAUGUGUAAUUUCCAUAAAUUGUG
rnacentral:lncRNA from 1 species